rnacentral:rRNA from 1 species
UAGAGGAUGCUUCGAGCAUGGUCUGGCCUAAGUUCCUUGGAACAGGACGUCAUAGAGGGUGAGAAUCCCGUAUGCGGCCAGGUGCCUACGCUCAUGUGAAGCUCCUUCGAC